GCCCGGAUGGCGGAACUGGUAGACGCGCUAGUUUCAGGUACUAGUGAUCGUAAGAUCGUGGAGGUUCAAGUCCUCUUUCGGGCACCA
rnacentral:tRNA from 1 species